rnacentral:pre_miRNA from 14 species
AUCUAAAAUUUGAAUAACAAGUAUAGUGAAAGACCCCCGAAGGGAGCCCCCCACUCAAGUCUCGGGAAAGACGCGCACCCAGUAGGACACAGACACCG